AUACCUUUCUCGGCCUUUUGGCUAAGAUCAAGUGUAGCAUCUGUUCUUAUCAGUUUAAUAUCUGAUAUGUGGACCAAUGGUCCACGUGAUAUUAAAUUUAAUGUUUUAAGAGGAGAGCCCAAUACAGUAGCUUGCUACUGGGGUUCUCGAGCGUCGCCCAUGCAUUGCACUGCAGCAAGGGCCUGCGUACCCUCC